rnacentral:lncRNA from 1 species
UGUGUGUUUGUUUUAUUGUACAGUAUAUAUUUCUGAGAUUAGAGAUGGUGAAUCUCAAGUGUUCAUUGUAAUUUAAUUUUUGCGAUCGUAUGAAAUGAGACUUCUGGAAUGUUAAUGAUAGGAGAAUGAAGUAAGGAUAGAAUUCAACUGAUUUUGUUUUUACAAGUUAUAAGCUGAUUUGUUGAGUAAUUAUCUCCUUUGUUUACGAAUUGUCAGUUAGUUUGUUUGGUGAAUGAUCACCUUUUUCUUCUUUUACUGUGGAUCAUUUGGAUUACAACCAUGUUUCGUUGAAGAAAGAUUAGUUGCGUUUAGUUCACAGGUUAUCUUGUUUAUACAGACGAGAAGUCAAAAUAACUUGGUUUUUAAUCAGCUGUGUUUCGCUGAUAAGCAGUUUACUUCUUAUUUGACUAUUGAUUAGGCAAGUAUUGUUGACUGACAAUCGACUGAUAUUUUGUUGAGCUGUCAACUUAUUUUGGUUUACAAGCAAUCAGCUGAUUUAACUUCGUAUUUGGCCAGCUAGGUCGCCAAUGGCGAUAUUUCCCUACUCACUCUUACUAGUAUAUUUAAACUAACAUUCCAGAAUUCCAUCGUUAAAUAACUUAAUUUACCAAACAAGUCUCAUAAUCCAGAUGGUGACUUUUCCCAAAAAUGUAUGGAUAGAAAUUCAUGUUUGAAUCGCACUGACGUUAAUUGAGAGUGUCUCACGAAGCUAACCAAAGAGUUUUAGAGGAAGCAAAUAACUGAAGACCAAGUGUUUAUAACCACCACUCGAACACUUCGAUCUUAACUCCCUCUCACAAGUUGCCAUUCUGGGAUAUGAGUCGCUGCGUUGGAUGACACUUUCCUCACUUCAUUGCCACUGGGCAAACGUGCUGAAUACAAAAAAAAAAAAUCGACUCCGGCCACGCGAUUUUAAACCUUGUUCAUUCGUCGUAAAAUUAAAAACCAUUUAGUUUAAUCUCCCACUCUCCUGCGGCGGGAUCAGGAUAUGCAAAUCGGAUGCAAAGUCGAAGACACAACGAAGCUGUACAUUAGAGGUUUAAAAUCGAUGGUUAAACUUGCAGCACGGAGUCCCCAGUCUCCACAGUUUCCUUAUUUCUGUGAUGAUAAAUUAUUAGAUCGAUUGGAGUGCCUUGAUUUAAAUUACGGCUGGGCAAAGUGUGUGGGACACUUAAUGCGUUACACAUACACUGAAUACGCAAGCAAUACACUAGGAACACACUGCAUACACCAGGGAUACGCCGAAUUCGAUACACUUAAUAUGUUAUGGACACAGUAAUCUAGAAAUACAGUAAGCUUAGUCUUAAUACUGUUGGAAUAUACAUAAUACGAUUGGAAUACACUUAAAACGGUUGGGAUACACUUAGAACACUUAGGAUACAUCAAAGGUAAACACACUGAACACACACAGAAGGACACAGACCACAACAGGACGGAGGGAGGGAAUCCAGAUGCCGCAACUUCCUUACAAGGAAGGACUGUAUACCUCUGUGGGCCUCUGGUGCUGUGACAUACAUGGAGGCAUAGUCUGGACGGCACAGACAUGGAGCCAUAGUCUGGACGGCACAGACCUGGAGGCAUAGUCUCGAGGCACAGACAUGGAGAUAUAGUCUGGAGGUACAGCCAUGGAGGUACAGAUCUGGAGGUACAGUCAUGGAAGUACAGACAUGGAGGUAUAGUCUGGAGGUACAGCCAUGGAGUACAGACCUGGAGGUACAGCCAUGGAGGUACAGACAUGGAAGUAUAGGCUCUGUUUCCCCUGGUCUCCAUCCCUGCCCAGUGACCCUCCUGCACACAUCUUCGUCUCGUUUACAUCAGAGAGACUUCGAGGACACGAAUCCCGAAACCUCACCGUUCUAGUACAACGUCCUUGACCUGCCCUGAACAGCAUUCAUCGAACAUUUACGCAAACAAUUAACAAACCUCAAUCCUAGUGGCUUUGUUUACACUUAUUAAACAGUUUAGUGAACUCCGAAGCACUACUUAGCUUCUUAAUAGCAAUAAUUACCUCGAGUUUGUCAAUUUUCCAAGCUCUUGAACUGUUUAAUAAAUGUACACACAGCCACCAUGAUUGAGGACAGACGUUCAAGUUUUCGUAGCAGACGUAAUCAAGUUUGAUUACAUAAAUGCUCUAUGAAUCCUGAUCCGGGGAAUCGGUAUUCAUCCUAAAUGUUUCUAUUUUGCAACAAGCGUGCUAGUUCCCAAGUUUAGGAAAAUGGUUGAUGCACCAAUCAUUCCACUUCGUUCUUGUUUGUACAAGUACAGGCCGCAGCGUCGCCGGCGGACUAUCAGCCGGCAAGGGAUUUUCUAGUGAGAUUGUAAUGGCUGGCUUUGUUAGUCGUCGAUUAUUUUCGUUUAUUGUGAUCAGUGUUUUUUUGUGUUUUUGUUUUAAUUAGCAGUUAGUGUUUUAUUUAUAUGUGUGUUUGCUAUAUUUAAUUUUAAUUAAUUCUUGCAAUGCAAGCCCCCUCCCUCAUAUAGCUUAAAAAAAAAGAAUGUUAAUUAAAAAAAAAAAAACACAUCUCUAUACGAGAGAAUAAUUAGAGUUUUAGAUACUUUUUUGUUGAAUGAUUUCCUCCCCCCUCCUCUUCUAACCUGUAUCUCUUAAUGGUAGAAUAAGACGUUUUCUCCUCCUAACUCCUAGUGUAGGUACCUGGUCUUGCAAGAAGGCCCUCAGUGUAGAUGUAGUUACCGUAGGUUACUUCACAUCUAAAUGUUUUGGUUGUAAAAAUAAAAAAAAACUUACAUUAAUAAUAACUUUUAAUUGUGGUAAUGUAAUAAUUUUUUAUAUUGUUUUGGCACGGGGAUGGGCGCAUGGCCAAGAUAUAUCUAGACCUGAGGGGUUACUAGAGCUAAUCUAGUCAGUAACUGGUUGUUCUAGAUUUAUGUCCAGAUAUAUACGGUCAUUCUAGCAGCAGUUUACUAGGCCACUAAAACCAGAUUUUAUACCGAUGUCUGACUUUGGGCAUUCGGUUCGUAGUCUAUUUAGAAGACAAGUAGCUUUGGGGCCAGUCAUUGGCUACGAUUCUCACUACUGUAGGCCUAGUACUGUACAGUUGCGUCUACCCUCUCUCGUGUUCUCUUAUCUUGUCAUACCUACCAGGUAGCGAAGGUAAAGAGCUCAGAGUAUCACCUACACCUUUAGACAAAUAUUUUAACUCUGGACACGCUCCGUGAACGCCACUGACGAUUAGUUAAAUCAAAGAAAUUUAAGCAUAGUUUCAUGACUUAACAAGUAAAAAUUUGUACAAAAACUUGUAAAUUUUCAUCGUAGAUCCUUUAUAAAGCACAAACGAUUGCUUAAAAAAAAAUUGUAUGUUGACUCUAUGCUGUUUACCUAAAAAAGACUACGAAGAACAGGAGACCAGGGUGGAAUACAAAACAGUGCCAAUUCCGUCACUUUUUUAACUAUGCAAACUGCGAUAACUUCCAUAAGUAUUCAUUUCGUGGUCUAGUCUGGGAACACGUGUGGUUCCCCGCUGUAAUUAUCUCUUAAGGUAUUAUCAUUUUAUUGUUGAUUUUAAUAUUGAUUUUACGGGACUCUGUAGCUCCUGCAAAAAAAAAAAAAAUUCAGGGAAAGGUUGUUAUUUUGGAGUUCAGAACAGUAGCAAA